CUCUAGACUCGAUUAGUACUAAUAUUAGUUCCGGCGAGUAUUUGGAGGCCUGUGCAAGGCCGACUCCGACUGAAUAUCAAAUGAUAUCCUAAACUUGUCAUUAAUCAGGAGAACUUUAACAGAAAAGGUACUGAAGAAAAGUUAAAUAAAUGAAUAUUCUUAAAACAUGAUAAAAGCAUCAAAAGUUAAACAAUGAAACAGUUAAAUUAACAAUCUUUACUUUUAU
rnacentral:lncRNA from 1 species